GGCAUUGCGAUGUUCCGGUGGGGGGGGGGGGCAAAUCUUUCUUUUGCCUAGGGCGGCAAAAAUCCUUGCACCGGCCCUGUGUGGAUUAUAAUAUAAUCUGUUGAAAAUAACACUCUAGAUUAAGAAUCUGAAUGAAUUGCUCUUUUUCCCCACAGUUGAAGAACAAACAAGCAAGUUAGAAUCUUUGUCAAUAACUAACAGGAAUUCUCCAUUUACCAGUCCAGCAACGCAACUACCAAGG